AUGAGGAGAAACUGGGAGGGCAAUCCUCGCUGCUCUUUUUACAGCGAAAGGGAAACGUCCCAACAUCUCUGCUUCUUGUGUCCAGUGGCUAGGGUGGUCUGGAGAACCGUGGGACUAGUCUUUGGCACUGAUCUUUGCCCUAAUAAUGUUUGGCAAUAUUACCCGUGGUGCUACACCUUUCUACCCAAUGGUGGUAAUUUUUUUACUUUUGGUCUGGCAGCUAUGUGUUGGGCCAUCUGGAAUUGUUGUAACCAGGAGCACUUUGAGCUCAGAUUUCCAAAAAACCCUUUUGAAGUGGUGUUCUCUUCAUGUGUGUUUCUGGAUUAUUGGCAGGUCUGCUGA
rnacentral:rRNA from 1 species